UGCUCCCUUCUGUAGACUUAGUGGGUGGACCGAUAUUGUUGAGGGCGGCACCCACUGAGAACUACUUGUUUUUACAGUAGUUCUCACGCCCUGUUGUUACCCCGUUUUUGCAGAGCCAUCGUCUUCGGCUGCUGCUGUUGCGGAUCAGGAUCGAGGCAAGGGCGUCGCGAGUUAGAGCUCUACCACUACAACAAAAGCGGUCUAUAGCGACACUUUUAAAUGUAGGUACAUGUCAAAAAAGUGCUGCUAGCUAAAAUUACCGACACUUUUAAAAAGUGUUGCUAUAUGUGGGGUCGGUAGGUAUAUAGUAACAGUUAAAGUGUGUCGCUAUAAUCUAAAAGAGUGCUGCUAAUUUACAAAUACUUAUUUAAGCAUUUAGCAACCGCCGAAACUCUAUCUCGUUGGCUGCGGUGGCGGAGGAGGACGACAGGAAAGGCUCUUCGUCUAGAAUUUCAAUGGAUUGAGUGAAGAGAGAAGAAAAGAUGGUAAUUGAUUUUUCUUUUUUUUUUCUUUUCUGUUUGUAAUCGGGUCCAAUGGACUGGAUGUGGUGGGUUGAGUAGAGUAAUCUUUUAUUUUUGGUUGGAUUGGGCUUUAUAUUUAGGCAUAAGUAGAUGUUUUUUUAAGUUUUAGCAUAAAUGGGACACUUACUCAAAAGUGUCUCAAACAUGUGUCCCUAUAACCUAAUUCUGUUGUAGUGUACCCGACGAGCCGAGCUAGAGGUGCCCCUACUGCAGGUAGUUGUUUUGUUGGAGUUUAUGUACAUACAGUUAUUUUAACUCGCUAGUGCGAGUAGUUUCGUAUUUUGGAUUUGAUGUAUGUAUAUGGAACUCAGUUUGUGUUUAGUUUCUGGUUCUUCUAGCAGCUCUAUACUACUGUUUGUAGUAUUGUCUGUUAUACAGGUACAGUUAUCGCUUCGUAUACAGGGGAAAUUUCUUUGUAUACGGCGGAUUUGUCGGCGUGCCCGGGGAUCGAGUAAUCCGGGGCGUGACAGCGUAUAUAUUGCUAAUCCCUAUAUCAAGCAGCCAUAUUCGCGAUAAGCUCGACAUGGUCAAACCCAGCAUUUCAAAUCGAAUCCUUUUUAUUGGGUUGAUUGAGCAGCCAUCUUCGUAAUAGGCUAGGCAUGAUCAAACCCGCGCACAAAAAAUAAUAAAACAAAAAAACAACAAAUAAUUUUAAAAAUGAGCAUAUUGUGAUUUGCCAUCUUCGUGAUAGGCAUUGUUCGAACCAUUCGUCAUCUUCAUGAGAGGCACGGUUCGACUCGAUCAAUUUGUCAUCUUCGUGAUAGACAUUGUUCGAAUCAUUUGCCAUCUUCGUAAUAGGCAUGGUUCGACUCGAUCAAUUAGCCAUCUUCGUGAUAGGUACUAUUCGAACUAUAUGCCAUCUUCGUGAUAUGCACGAUUUGGCUUGAUCAAUUAACCAUCUUCAUGAUAGACACUAUUCGAACCAUAUGCCAUCUGUGUGAUAGGUACGGUCCGAUGUGACCACAUUGUCGUGAUAGGCACAUGUUCGAUCAAAUUGCCAUCUUCGUGAUAGGCAUUACUCAAUUUAAUCGAACCUAAUGUUUAGGACGGGUUGUCUAAGCGACGUCCUCUGAGUGCAACAUAAAGAUUGAUGAUUCAUGAAUUUGGCAUUGAUUUUAGACCGGACCAAAUCAAUUCGAAUUGAAUCCGACAUGAAAAAAAGGAACUGUUUAGAAUUAAUUAAUUCAUAAAUUUAAAGGAGCCUAAUCUACAAUUCACUUAUGUGCUCAAUGAACAAAAUCCAACAUACAAGGCCCAAAUAUCAUAGACUCAACCCAUACGCAGUCCAUCAACAAAACUAAAUUCAAUCCAGCCCAAAACCUGAAUCCAGCCCAUAUACAAUGCAGAUUCAGUCUAUAUACGGGCCCUGCAUAUAGCCCGUAUGCAAAUAUAUAUAGGCCCAAUCUACUCACGGGCCCUGAAUCCAGCUCGUAUACAAUGCUGGCCCAGUUGCUUAUGGAUUGAAAACCCAGUCCACAUAAAAAUAAAGUCCAGUCUACAUAUGGGCUCCAAAUUUAGCCCACAUGCUAAUAAAGCACAAAAUUAGAUUCAGAACCUAGUCCAUAUAUAAAUAUAUUCCUUGAUUCAGUCUAUAUGCAAAUUCGGGUCCAAAACCCAUAAAACCGAAAGUCCACAAUAAAAUCCAACCUAAUCUAGUGCGGCUUAUCAAACCAUCAAAACCCAAGAGCAUAAAACCCAAAACGACCAAACCCGUAUCAUCCAAAAUGCCUUCAACCCAAACAAAAAAAAAUGGGCUUCCAAAUGCCUUCAACUCAAACAAAAAAAUGGGCUUCUAUCACGAACUAAUUUCAUGAAUCAAAAAAGAGGUGCUAUCAUGGACUACCUUCAGGAAUCAAAAAUGGGAUUUCAUCAUAGGCUCAUAUCAUGAACUAACUUCAUGAAUCAAAAAGGGAUUUCUAUCAUGAGCUAAAGAUAGCUUUCCGCCAUAAUGAGCUUUCAUCAUAAACUCAUAUUGUAACGACUCGAUCCGGUAGCAACAAUAAUUCGUUGGGCCCAAACCAUUGGCCUAAAAUGCUUAAGCCCAGUUAUUAUUACUAGUAUGUAGGCUUCAUAUAUUCUAAUCAAAAUUAUUUUUCCAUCUGAUGUGGGGCUAUUGGGGAGUUUGUGGAAUCAUUUUUCUAUCUGAUGUAGGACUAUUGCGGCGUUAUAAACUCCCCUUGUUUAGACCCUGAUCCGAUGAGAGACUAUUGGAAAGUUCGUGGAAUCAUUUUCCUAUCCAAUGUAGGACUAUUGCAGCAUUACAAACUCCCUCUGUUUAGACUCUGACCUAAACCAAAUCACAGAUGCAGACCAGAAUUACCAAGCAAUAUGAGAUUCUAGAGGUGGCUUCUACGGGUUCAAGAGGUGGUUCCCAUCAAACCCAUUGGUGUAGCACUUUGUCCACCAUAGCACUUAGCUCUCACACUUCCGGUUGACAUUCGGCUCUAAUGCCAAUUGUAACGACCUGAUCCGCUAGCAACAAUAAUUCGUUGGGCUAAAACCACUGGCCUGAAAUACUUAAGUUAAGUUAUUAUUACUAUCGUGUAGACCUCAUAUAUUCUAAUCAGAAUCAUUUUUCCAUCCGGUGGACUAUGGGGGAGUUUGUAAAAUCAUUUUUCCCACCGAUGAGAGACUAUUGGGGCGUUACACAUAUGAACUAAAUACGGAGUGCCUUCAACCAAAUUGUAAGGGUUCGAUCUAAAUCAAAUCCCAACGGGUUCUGACCCAAAGUAUAGCGAUUCAGCCCAAACCAAUCUAAAAAAGGCCAAACAAGCCUAAGGUGGCUCAACACAAAUCAAAUACAAGGGGAUCAAAUUAAUUCAACCUGAACUCAACUAGAAUGAUCCAAAUAAAGUAAACCAAAGAUUAAGUAAACCAGCUCCGCUCGAACUGAAAUAGAUCAACGGUUCAGACUGAGCUGAAUCAAAUUAAUCGAUCGAGUCAACUGAAUCAACUCACAAGCCAGAUUUAAAUGACUGCAAAGUCUUUAUACUAAGCAACCCAAAAUCAAAUGACCACAAAGUCUUUAAACUAAACAAUCCAAAUUCAAGUGCGCAAGACGUUAAACUAAGCAAGUCAAAAUCAAACUCUACUCAAAUCGACCACCAUAUCUUUAAACUAAGCAUCUCAACUUCAAGCUGACCACCGCAUCAUUAAACUGAGCAACACAACUUAAACUAACCGCCAAGUCGUUAAACUGAGCAAACGAAAUUCGAACUCAAAUUGACGGCUAAGUCGUUAGUCUGAGCAAAUUAAAUUUAAACUCAACUCAAUUUAACCGCUAAAUUGUUAAACUGAGAAAAUUAAAUUUAAAUUCAACUCAACUCUACUGCUAAGUCCAUAAACUGAGUAUUAAUGCUUUACAAAAUUCAUGUAAAGUGGGGGUAAUGCUUUACAAAAUUCAUGUACAGUGGGAGUAUGCCUCUGCUUAAGCCAUGUACAUAGCAAAUCAUAUUAAUAAAAUUUUAUCUUCAUGCUUUGGUCUCGUUUAUUAUCAGCAUUCAUGUUCGGUCUCUUAAUCGAAGGUUCCUUAAUACUGUCAAUGUGGAUAAUUAACAGCAGAUUCUUGAACCUGCUGGAAGCCAUUAACCAACAAUCCUGAUUUCAAGACAAAACUUAAAUAAAUUUAAUCUGUACCAUAAAUGACCACUCGUCGGAGAAAAGCUUGCGGCGGGGCCGCUUCGUUCGUGGCGGCAGACAUGCUGUAAAAGGAAGUCUUCUCCUCCAUUUUAAUCAAGCCAAAUGAAGGCCAAUUCAAUGGCCAUAUUAUUUGAAGGUUCUGAUGUUUAAGUCCUUUUUGUCUCUUAUUUUCAGUAGCCUUCUAUUACUUCUCUACCUAGUACAAGUCAAAAAGAAUUUAAAAGGAAAAUGCGGCACUACAGGUUAAAGUAGCCAACCAACUAAAUAACCUACUCAUCUCUUCACUCUUUCUCCUAGAUCUGAACCACAUAAAUUAAUAUUCACUACAUAAACUAAUAGGCAAGAACUAAAUGUGGUAUGAAUUACAAAAUUCUAUUCAAACAUUAAUCAUACUAAACUACUCAAUGUAUAGCACCAACUAGAACAAACUUCUAAUCUGUUGCUAUUGUUGAUGCAGGAUGAAAUUGGAAUCUUAAAAUGAACUUUUAAGUCAUUUAAGAUUCAAAACUUAAAUUGAUUGAGAGUUACGAUCUCCAAAUUAUGCUCAAGUACCUUCUUAAGCUGACUUCAAGAACCCGAAAGGAGAAAGGAAGAAAUGAAAAAAAUGAUAAGAAAAAAGUGGAAGUACUUGAGCAGAAAAACAAAAUUGAGCAUAUAUUUUAAGGAUUUUGAAGCAUCUAAUUUGGAAAUGGUCGAAAAGCCUCUGAAUUUGUUCACAGCUUUAGUUUCUUUCUACACGUUUUCUUCUAAAUUUCUCUCAGCAAAUCUUUAGCCUUCGUUUGUAUAGAUUAAAAAAGAAAAAACCAGCUUCAUUAUCUGGAUCCACAAAAUUGAUUCCCUACUUUCUGCAGGGGUCUGACAUUUAAGAAGCAACAUGAAAUAAUUGAGAGGUCAAGAAGUAUAGUUUUACGUUAAAAAAAGCCGUGUUAAAAGAUUUAAGAACAUUUAAAGUAUCAACAACAUAAAGAAUAACAAUGAGUAUGAUACAACAAUAACAAUAAUGAACGAUAAAAGUAAGUUUAUAAUUAGUAUUAUAAUUAAUAGAUAAAGGAUGAUAAAGGGAAAAAAAGAAAAGAAAGGAAGAGUAUACAUAUAGAUCAAAACUAACUCCUGAAAGUUAUAGGAUCCACGUCUAUAGGAUUAACAACUUACACCUUCAUUAUGAGAUCACGCCAGAAAGCAGAAUGCAUCUUUAUUUUGAAAUUCCUGAGAGUACAAAACUGUAUGUAAUUAAAUAGUUUUCCAAAAUAACUGAAAUACCUCUCAGCAUCCUUGUAUUGAUUAACUCUAAGGUUGGAAUAAUGAUCUUGUAGAUGAAAUCAGGAAGAAGAUUCACGGCACAAAGCAAGGGGAGAUGACUAUUGGAUAGUAUUUCGCAGCAUGGAUUUAAGUGCCGUGGCAAGGGGUCAUGCUGGAAACUUGCCAGCACGGUACGGCACGGUGCGUGCAGGUAACAAAAAAUACAUGUGUGCUGACACAUAAUGACAUGAAAUAUUUAUUUUCUUUAGCACACUACAACAAAAACGGUCUAUAGUGACACUUUUAAAUAUCGGUACAUGUCAAAAAAAGUGCUGGCUAAAUUACCGACACUUUUAAAAAGUAUUGCUAUUUGUGAGUUUGCUAGGUAUACAGUGACAAUUAAAGAGUGUCACUAUAACCUAAAAAGAGUGCUACUAAUUUACCAAUACUUAUUUAAGCAUUUAGCAACCGUCGAAACUCUACCUCGUUGGCUGCGGUGGCGGAGGAGAACGAGAGGGAAGGGCUCUUCGUCUAGAAUUUCAGUGAAUUGAGUGAGGGGAGAAGGGAAGAUGGUAAUCGAUUUUUUUUUUUUCUUUUCUCUUUGUAAUCGGGCCGAAUGGACUAGGUGGGGUGGGUUAAGUAGAGUAACCUUUUACUUUUUGUUGGAUUGGGCUUUAUAUUUAGGAAUUAAUAGAUAUUUUUUUAAGUUUUGGCAUAAAUGGAACACUUACACAAAAGUGUCCCAAACAUGUGUCUCUAUAACCUAAUUCUGUUGUAGUGGCAACAAAGUUUUCUAGCGGUUUAUUAUGUAUCAUUAUCAAAUUUUUUGAACUUUAUUUGAGAUAAUUACUUAGUAAUUUGAAGAAUACAGGGUUUUGAGAUGUGCCAUCGGCACAGGGGGUUGUAUUGUGCCGAUAUUUUGUUGGCACGAUACCACACGAUAGAUACGGCCUGUGCCGAUGGGCACUUAAAUCCUUGCUUCGCAGUGUCUGCUAGUCUGUAGUAGGAGAUGGACUACUAUCAAGAUAUCCACAGUGGCUGCACAGGAGAUGCAAUCAAGUUUCAGAGGGUUUAAGAUUUCUCGGCUGGCCUACAACCUGAAUUUGAUCAAAUCAAGUUCAUGUCUAGGAAAGGAUCCUUUCCUGUCAGUACGGAAGACAUGCAUUUGUAGAGCAAGAGGAGAGCAGAUACCUGAUAAGUUAGCCUUGUUCAUCAAUUUCUUCCUCGAAGAAUGUAAAGGGAAAUCGGAUUAGAGGAAUUGAUAAAAGAAUGGCCAAAAAGAUCAGCAUAAAUGUGAUCACUGUGGGAGAACUGAACACACUUCGUCGACUGAUGUCUAAGCUUGCUUCAAUUCUACUUUCUCCACUAUCCAAUACUGCCACUGCUAAUUGUGCUUUGUUAGAUAUAGCUAUUAGUGCUUCUAGUUGCACGCGUAACAUAUUUCUCACCUCAAUUAUUGAUAGUUUAUUGGAUCAUUUCUUAUCCUACUUUCCUUCUUUAGGUUAGGAAAAAAAAAUUCAUAUUGCUAAUGGUUCCUAUCUUCUAUUUUUGGGAAAGGUUCCAUAGCAUACUUCUGAUCUAACCUUGUCCUCUAUUCUUCACGCUCCUAAUUAUCCAAACAAUCUUUUAUAUAUAAAUGUAAUAACUAGGGAUCUUAACUAUAACAUGAUCUUUUUUUCUUUUCAUUGGGUUUUUUAGAAACUGGAUAUGGGGAAAAUAAUUGUCUGUGGAAAGAUGCAUGAUAGGCUUUAUCUCCUAGAAGAAGGAACAGAUUGAUUAUAUAGAGUUAUAGACAUCAUUCUGCUCUCCCGAUUGAUGCGACAUCAGCCUGUCAAGAGAUACACCAAUAGCAUCGACGACUUGGUCAUCCUUCCUUUAGAAUAUUGAAACAAAUGAUUCCUCAGUUGUUUCAGCACUGUAAUCUUGAACGUUUGAAGUGUGAUGCUUGUAAGUACAAGCUAUUAAUUUCAAAACCUUACUUAAGAUAUUGUUAGGUACCUCUAAUUACAUUAUGCCUCUGAAAUUGUUUGAAUUUGCUUGUUUUGUACAUGUCACCGAAGGACAAAUGACAAACUUGAUCCUCGGGCCAUGAAGUGUCUUUUCAUUGGGUAUUCUGCUUCUCCAACGAGUUACAAAUGUUAUCACCGCAUACAAGGAUGACAUUCAUCACUAUGGAUGUUAUCAUGUUACCUUCAAGGAGCAUGUGGCCUGUUAUCACCGAUCAUCUCUUUAGGGGAAGAGUCAAUUUAAGAAAGAAGAGACGAAUGUUGAUACGACCGUUUAUGUUCCCAGAUGGACGUCAACACUUGAACUACGACAAAAUGAGGGAGAGAGGGAAAUGAUAUUAAGGGAGAGGAAUAGAGAAAUGAAAUCGAGUUGGGCGGGGAGAGAAAUGGAGUUGAGGCAGAGGGAGAGAAAGAUGAAGUUAAAGGAAAAAGGCAAAACAAUAUUCUGAGGAGACAGAAAAAAAGUGAUUGUGAAUAGCAAGCAUACACUUGAAAACGAAGAAAGUAUAAAUCUAUCAUGCACUCCUCACCUAGCUAAGAGCUCUCUCCGGAUCCAAUUCUUUUUAUCUCACCUCUCUCCAAGCCAAGAGCUAUCUACAUACCUAGUUCUUUCUUCUCAAUCUCCUCAAAGUCAUUGUCCGUCUCUUGCUCAUAUGAAGUCUUCCAAUUUUAAUCCUGUGAGUUCGAAAUCACUCUAAACAUCCAAUUUCUGAUCGACUUUGUUUUAUAUGCGCCAUUAUCUCCUUUGUAUAGAGCUUUUAUGUCAUCCUUGUCUUCUAUCUACAUUCUACAGAAUUGGAUGGAGGAACUUGUAGAUUCCAAGUGAAACGAAGCUAUGUUGAGGAGAUGAAAGCUUAGCGAAAUGAGACAUGGGAACUUGUUGAACUAUCUACUGGAAAAAGACUCGUCGGAUGCAACUGGGUUUUUAUUGUGAACUAAGCAUAAGGUAAACAUACAAGUCGAGAGAUAUAAAGUCAGACUUGUCACAAAAAAGUUUUACUCAAAUCCAUGGAGUUAAAUAUCAGGAGACUUUUGUUCCCUUUGCAAAACUAAACUCCAUUUGCAUUCUCCUAUCACGUGCUGCAAAUCUUGAAUGGGAGUAACAACAAUUAAAUCUGAAAAUUGCAUUUCUACAUGGUGACAUAAUGGAAGAAGUGUAUAUGGAGGUUGGUUUCUCAUCACAAAAACCAAUAGGGAAAAUGUGUGAAUUAAAAAAAGGUGCUAUAUGGCUUAAAGCAAUCAACAAGAGCUUGGUUUGACAGAUUUAGCUAAGCAAUGCCAGCAUUUGGGUAGAAGCAAAACAAUCCUGAUCAUAUACUAUUUACUAAAAAGAUGCAAUCAUAAAGUUGUCAUUCUCAUUGUUUAUGUUGAUGAAAUAGUGGUAAUUGGAAAUAAUGCAAUUGGAGAUGAACAAACUCAAGAAUUAUCUUGUACAAAAUUUUGAGAUAAAGGAUCUAAGAAAGUUGCAAUAUUUUCUAGGAAUUGAAGCGGCGAGAUCAUAAACAGGCAUAUUUAUAUCACAAAGAAAAUACAUUUUGGACUUGCUCCAACAAACUGGUAUGCUUGGAUGUGGACCAGCAGAUUCACCUACUGAGGCAGACUCACCUACUGAGGCAAAUCAUCGAUUGAAGGGUGAAUUAAGUUGGCGAAUCUAUUGAUUAGAAAAGGUAUCAACAAGUGGUGGGUAGAUUGGUUUAUAGGUCUCACACUCGAACUGAUAUAACAUGUGUGGUGAGUGUAGUUAGUUAGUAUAUUCUGCCUCACUUGAAGACAAUUUGUCGUAUUUUGAGGUACUCAAAAUCAUCUCCCGGAAAGUGGACUUCUCUUUGCAAAUGAUAGUCAUUUGAAAAUUGAAGCUUUUACAGAUGCAGAUUUGGAUGGCUAUCCAAAUGACGGAAGAUCUAUUUGAAGAUACUACACAUUUGUAAGAGGUAAUAGUUUAGUCACCUGGAGAAGUAAAAAGUAGAGAGUUGUUGUCAGAUCAAAUGCACAAGCAGUGCAUAGAGCUAUAGCAUAUGGCUUAUGUGAAUUGUCGUGGCUUAGAAAAAUUAUGCGUUAGGAUUGACAAAUAUCAAGCCACUAAUGUUUGCAAUGUGACAACAAAGGUGCCAUCAACAUAGCCCACAAUCCUGCACAACAUGAUAAGACAAAACAAAUUGAAGUUGAGUUGAAUUUUAUCAAGGAGCUGGAGAAGGGUAUCAUCUGCAUUCUGUUUGUGAAGUCACAGGACCGAACAGCAAACAUUCUCACUAAAGGACCUAGGAGUGUUUUAUUUAACGUUUUGUAUACACGAUGGGCAUAAGAAAUAUAUAUGCUCCAUUUUGAGGGCAGUGUUAGUUUAGUAUAAUUCCAAUCUUCUCAAAGACUUUUACGUAAAAAUGCAUUAUAAAUUAAUUAGUUUAGAAUUGCAGGUGUAAAAUCCCCUAAAACUCUUUUCCUCAUUCUUUUCUCUAUUAACUAUCAAGUUACAACAUGGUUAAGAAACUUUAGAGCUGUUACGACAAAAGCGGAAAAUAUUUAGUUUGUUGGGCACAAAAAUACCAAAAGAAAACCGAGAAGUAGAGAAGAAAAAUAAAUCACAUAAUUAUUUACAUGGUUCGGCCACGCAAGCGAAGACGAAGUACAAACUUUAAUUAUAACCGAAAGAGAACUGUACCCUCAAAAGAGAACCCAUACUUUUUCUUAUCUGCCGUACCAAAUCAAUAAAAUAAAAGGUAUAUGUAUUUUGACUAAAAUCUAAUGAGAAUAGGAAUAAUCUCAAAAAGAUAAUUAUAAUCUUAAGUUAACUUAAUGGGUUGACUAAAAUAAAAUAAUGAUAGAAAAUCUUCCGAUUCUAUAAUUCAAGACACAUCUAACAAAUGUUUUUUUUUUAAAAAAAUCUUCAAACACACUCCUGUGGUUUAGCGCUUUCUCACUUUAGUACCCUGUGAUUUGAAAUGCAUCACUUUAGUAUCCUGUGGUUGCAUUUUUCUCUCUCUGUUGCCCCCUCUAUUUAGCAUUUUUAUUAAACCAGUGAUAAAAUUAAAACCACAAGGUACUAAAGUGAAAAGCUAGUAAACCACAGGGGAGUAUAUGAAGUUUUCUCUUUAUGCUUUAACAACAAAGUUAACAAAAGGGCUGACAAAAAGAGAAAAAUAGAACCUUAGGAUAAUAAAGUGAUACACUUUUAAACCACAGGGUGUUAGAGUGAGAAAGAGCGCAACCACAGAGGGGGUACUUGAAGUUCUCACUAUUUUCUUGGCUGUACAUUUGGGGUGAAAGGCCAUCGGUUAUGGUACCCUGAUCCCAAAGCAUCUAAAUUUCUUAUUAGUAGGGAAGUUACUUUUGAUGAGUCUACUAUGUUUCACCUGAAAAAAGAGUCUUUUGUUGGCACACUUUUGAGAAAGUGAAGACCGUUAAGAAACAGGUUGAGUUUCAGAUUAAUGACUCAAUAUACCUGCAAGAAGUUCUGUGAUGCUCCAACUUCCCAAGGGGUCACCUAAAAUGCUUAAGCCGGGUUAAGAGUUUUAGCCCUAUUAUAUCGUAUAUAUAGGACUAUCUGGGGUUUCACAUACUCCCCCCAUUUAAGUCCUGACGUCCUCAUCAAACUCAGACUCACAAGUACCUGACAAUGUGAGACUCGUCUCGUUAGCCUAAACCGACCUUGUGGUGAGCUACGCUCCACCCACAAUACCCAACAGCAUGGGAGCUCUAUUAGAAAUUGUAUUAAAUAAAUAAUAUCCGUCCAAUUUAUUUAAUUUUUAAAUUAAAUAAAAAAUUAAGUAUAUUGUCUCAUCUUUUUAGAAAUGGAUGAAAAUCCUUUUCUGCUUUUGAAAACUUCUAUUUAUUCUAUUUUUUAAAUAGAAAAUAAUAUUAUCUCCUUGCAUCUUUUUUUAAAAAGAUUAAAAAUGCUCUCUUCACCUACGGUAGAACAAACAAAAUUUAACUAUUUUUUAUACAAUUAUAAUAAANUAAUAUUAUCUCCUUGCAUCUUUUUUUAAAAAGAUUAAAAAUGCUCUCUUCACCUACGGUAGAACAAACAAAAUUUAACUAUUUUUUAUACAAUUCUACUAAAGAUUUAGAAAUUAUUGAAUAUAUAAAUAUCACACUCAAUCUGAAUUAUUUUAAAAAAUAUAAUAUUCUUUUUCAAAUAUAUGUAUACGUGCAUUGCACGUACACUUUGCUAGUGCAUACAAAUACAGAUACAUAUAUGUAUAUGUAUCCAAAUAUAUGUACCAUUUGUGUAUAUAUUGUUGAAAAAUUAUCUUUCUAAAUCUUUAGUAGAAUAUUCUUUUAAAUAAUUUUUGAAUAGAAAGAAUAUAACUUUAGUUUUGAAAACCGCAAGUAAAAAUUAAACAGUUACUACUAUAGAUAUUAAGAGGUCAGAUGAGGCCUGUGAGUCGAGGCGUGUGAAAGCAUUGUCUUAGAAGCGAGAUUGUCCCUCCACGUGCGAGGCUUUGACAAUCACUCCUAGCGAUACAAUGACCACUGCCCACCCCGUCGGCAUAUCUUCAGGAUGGCGCAACACGAACCCAAUAAACUUUCAGAGAUCCAGCAAAAAUGGCAAUGUGAAGUUGAGUGCAUAAUAGAUGUAAAAAUCAGCGUGAAAGAAGGUGAGGAAGAAGAGUAUUUUGCAAGCUCGGGUUAUGUCUUAUGCACCAACACAAGUGCACCUUCACUUACAUAUUGGAGAGAUUUAGAAUAGUUCAAUGGGAAAAUCCUGGUCAAGAUCUAGCUCCUUCCCGAGGUUGGACUAAGAUAUGAUUCCUUUCCGAAGUUGGACCAAAUCUGGACAAUAUCCAGAUUAGAUCUAGUCAAGAUCUCGUAUGGCUCCUUCCCAAGGUAAGGCCAUCAUUGGAUAAAAAUAAAAUAAAAAGAAAAAAGUGUAAAUGAACCGAGUUCACGCACGCCGCCACCCGGCCCGGCUCGUGCUCGUGCUCGUGCGUUUAGUCGAGAGCUCCACUCUCAUGUUCUCCCAAGCAACUAAAGUUGAGAGUGAGAGUGUAUAUAAAGUGUAGUAAAAUGCCUUUGGUUUCCAAUGUGGAACUAAACUUCACAUGUGGAAAUUAAGGCACGGGCUCCCAAGUAAGACUACAGAGAGUUGAGCUGCCCAGGAAGCCCAUGGACCAAAUUCAAGUUUUAAAUCACUGUUUUAAAAAAUUAAAACUAACAUAUAUAUAUAUAUAUAUAUAUAUAUAAUAUAUAGAACUAGGCUGGAAUACUAUCAAUAGCACUAAGCUAUUGGUGCUAUUAGGUUUUUAGUCCUUGGAUUGAGAAAUGUGUGGUUACGCUAAUAUGGGCCCUCUAGGGUUGAGUGGGUGCUUGGUUGAAUAGUAUAAUCUAACGGGUAAAAAUAAUCAAAGGGGUUAAAUCUACCGAUGGAAAACUCGAUAGUACCAAGCUCUUGGUGCUACCGAUAGUAUUCCAGCCGGACUUCAUAUAUAUAUAUAGAUAUAGAUCUAGGCUGGAAUACUAUUAAUAGCACCAAUGACUUGGUGCUAUUAAGUUUUCUGCCCUUGGAUUAAAAGAUGUGUGAUUAGGAUGAUGUGGGCUCCCUAGGGUUGAGUGGGUGGUUAGUUGAAUGGUAUAAUCGAAUGGAUGAAAAUGAUAAAAGAUGUAAAUCUAACGACAGAAAACUUGAUAGCACCAAAUGCUUUAUGCUAUCGAUAGUAUCCCAGCCGGACUCUAUAUAUAUGAGCUAGGCUGGUAUACUAUCGGUAGCACGGAAGCCUCCGUGCUACCAAGUUAUUUUCAAUGAUACGGCUUUCAAAUCAACGAUCAACUCCAUUAGACUUGAUCUACACAAUUAAAAGUAUUUGGAAACUAAAUUUCAUAAUUUUUCGAUAUCAUUUAGCUAGUGAUUAAAAGGUCUCAAAAUUGACAAUUUUAAUAGUAGAUGUGAUGCGUUUGUGAAUUUAACGGUGUAAAACAAUCCAAAUCUGAUGAAAUUUUUAUAGAAAAUUCCUUUAACUAUUUAGAGUAAGAUCAGUACCUCUGAUCUUAAAUUCAAGUCUUUUAUCAUCAUUUUUUAUGAGAUUUUUAUUUUUAGCUGUUCAUUUUUAGGCUAUUCAUUUGAUAGGUAAAUGAUGCCGAAAAAUUAUGAAAUUUAGUUUCCAAAUACUUUCAAUAGUGUAGAUCAAGUCUAACGGAGCCGAUAGUCGAUUUGGAAGCCGCAUCAUUGAAAACAACUUGGAAGCACGGAGGCCUCCGUACUACCAAGUUGUUUUCAAUGAUGCGGCUUCCAAAUCGACGAUCGGCUCCGUUAGACUUGAUCUACACUAUUAAAAGUAUUUGGAAACUAAAUUUCAUAAUUUUUCGAUAUCAUUUACCUAUCAAACGAGUAGUCUAAAAAUAAAUGGCUGAAAAUAAAAAUCUCCUAAAAAAUGAUGAUAAAAGACUUAUAGAAAAUUCUUUUCACUAUUUAGAGUAAGAUCAGUACCUCUGAUCUUAAAUUCAAGUCUUUUAUCAUCAUUUUUUAUGAGAUUUUUAUUUUUAGCUGUUCAUUUUUAGGCUAUUCAUUUGAUAGGUAAAUGAUGCCGAAAAAUUAAGAAAUUUAGUUUCCAAAUACUUUCAAUAGUGUAGAUCAAGUCUAACGGAGCCGAUAGUCGAUUUGGAAGCCGCAUCAUUGAAAACAACUUGAUAGCACGGAGGCCUCCGGGCUAGCGAUAGUAUGAUGUACAUGUGUAUGUAUUUAUAUAUAGAGCUAGGCUGGUAUACUAUCGGUAUAUAUAUAUAUAUAUAUAUAUAGAAUUGAGCUAGAAUACUUUUAGAAGCACCAACCCCUUGGUGCUUCUAGGGUUUAAGCCCUUGGAUCUACUCCUUGAUUACUAGUAACCCUUGGAUUAAACACUAUUCCACCUACCACCACCUACCACCACCUAACACCAUCAUCCCAACCUUACAACUCUGAUCAUCCAAUGGCCAAAAACUCAAAAGCACCACCCUCUUGGUGCUUUUGAGAGUAUUCUAGCUCAACAAUAUAUAUGUAUGUGUAUGUGUAUGUGUAUGUGUAUGUAUAUGUAUAGAGCUAGACUGGUAUACUAUCGGUAGCACGGAGGCCUCCAUGCUACCAAGUUGCUUUUAAUGAUGCGGCUUCCAAGUCGACGAUCGGCUCCAUUAGACUUGACCUACAGUAUUGAAAGUAUUUGAAAACUAUAUUUCAUAAAUUUUUGGUAUCAUUUACCUAUCAAACGAGUAGUCUAAAAAUAAAUGGCUGAAAAUAAAAAUCUCCUAAAAAAUGAUGAUAAAAGACUUGAAUUUAACAUCAGAGAUACUGAUCUUACUCUAAAUAGUGAAAAGAAUUUUCUAUAAAAAUUUCAUCAGAUUUGGAUUAUUUUACACUGUUAAAUUCACAAACGCAUCACAUCUAGCAUUAAAAUUGUCAAUUUUGAGACCUUUUGAUCACUAGCCAAAUGAUGUCGAAAAAUUAUGAAAUUUAGUUUCCAAAUACUUUUAAUAGUGUAAAUCAAGUCUAACGGAGUCGUUCGUCGAUUUAGAAGCCGUAUCAUUGAAAAACAACUUGGUAGCACGGAGGCCUCCGUGCUACCGAUAGUAUACCAGCCUAACUCUAUAUGUAUAUGUAUAUAUAUGUAUAUGUAGAACUAGGCUGGAAUACUAUUAAUAGCACCAAUGACUUGGUGCUAGUAAGUUUCUUUCCUUACAUUAAAAGAUGUGUGGCUAGGAUAAUGUAGGCCCUCUAGAGUUGAGUGGGUGGUUAGUUGAAUAGUAUAAUCGAACGGAUGAAAAUGAUAAAAGAGGUAAAUCUAAUGGCAAAAAACUUGAUAGCACCAAAUGUUUCGUGCUAUCGUUAGUAAUCCGAGGUUAUGUAUAGAGUAAGGCUAUGGAGUUGUGAAAAGCACAAGACUUGGUCUUGUUAAACGUUUUUUACCGUUAAGAUCUACGCCUUUUUGAUCAUUUAAAACUCCGUUGUAGUAUACUUAUCAAAACCACCCCCACUCAACCACUCAGGGGCGCACAUCAUCCUUAAACCGCUACGAUCACUUAAUCAAUGCCAAAAAUCUACAAGCCAAUCCAAACUAACUUGGUAUUUAAAAGCAUAGGAGUCUUAAUUAUACAUAUAUAUAAUAACAUAUAUAUAUAUAUAUAUAUUAUAUGGUCCGGCUACUAUAUUCUAUUGUGAAAGUACGAUCGAGCCUUCGGUACCAUAAGUUGUUUUCGAUAUAAGCUUUCCGAUAUCGACGAUCCACACCGUUAAAGUUAUUUACGGCAUUUAUAACUUUCUAAAAAUCAAAUUUAUAAUUUUUUGACGAUCAUUUAUCUUAUGAUCAAGAGGUCACCAAAUUGACAAUAUUUUAACGGCCCGGUAAUGGGAAUACUUGCUAGUUUAACGGUUAUGUAAAAAGAUCGGAAUUUGUUGAAUUUUUGAUAGAAAAUUCUAUUCAUACAUAGUAUAAGAUGCAAUAACUCCGAUCUUGAAUUGAGAGGAUCGAUUAUUCUUUUUAUAGGACGUCGUUUCGAUUGUGACCGUUCAUUAUUUGUGCCCACUGAUGGACUUUAUUAUGAUUUCAGAAAUUUACGAUAAUUUAUUUUCUAGGAAGCAUGGACUCCUAUUACUAUAUAUAUAUAUACACACACGUAUAUAUAUAUAUAUAUAUAAUUAAGCUCCUAUGCUUUUAAAAGUACCAAGUUAUUGGUGCUUGUAGAUUUUUAGCCAUUGGAUUAAGAAAUAUACGGUUAGGAUGUUGUGAGCCCCCUAGGGUUGAGUGACUUGUUGGUUGAAUAGUAUAAUCUAAUGGUUGAAAAUGAUCCGAGAAAUAGAUCUAACGGUAAAAAACUUACAAGCACCAAGUGUAAAUAGUUACGUUUAACUUUAAGGUUGUAACAACUCAAAAGAUUAUCAUUAAGCACUGAAAAAUUACCUUAACCGAAGAUAAUUACUGUCCCAUAUAUAUAUAUGCUAACUCCACUUUUGUAUCUCCUCAACCCAACUGACCAUUAAUUACUGAUCAAUCUCCACUCUCUUCCAUGCUUCACAAUUAAUAUCCAUUUACAUAAAUACUCUGAUUGCAAAAUUUAAUUGAAUAAUGUUAUCCCUCUUUCUCUGUUCAAAAGGAAAAAAUGUGGAAAUGACCAAAAACAUUUUAAUUUAGUUAAGAUGAUCAACCAUGCAUACAUCAAUAUCACAGGACUUUAAUUAGAUGCAAUAUUAUUUAAAAAGGAUAGCAGGUAGUCUGCAUAUCCAUGAAUUUCAUAUACCCAAUGAUACAUGAGGAUACUAACCGUUCCUAGCGCAAGUGGCAAAAGACUUGAUAGUUGGUAUCCGAGGCCCCAAGUUUGAAUCCUAAUUGAUUUAUACUUUCAACUAAAUUUUCUAAUUGAUUUAUAUUUUCAGCUAAAUUUAUUUUUAAAAGAAAUAAACAAAGAAGGUAACAUGCUACCUUUUUCUCAAAAGAAAAAAAAAUGAUCCAUGAUCAGGAUUAAUUAACUUACAGAAACAAAAUGCAUAUAAAUUACAUUAGAUGCAAGAACAUACCAAGAACUGUAUUAGUUCUAAAAAUUUGCAAACAAGGAUAUUCGUCUAGCAUAUCUUCAAAGUAUAGUUAUGAAGCACUUACCUUUACCAACUGUAGACCCAGAUACUAAUACUUUGUUUGGAACUACAAUAAAAAGAAAAUUUUGGACUUCUAGUAUCUUCUUUUAGCUGUUUCCUCCUACAGCUGGCCAGUAGUAAGAGUUAGCCUACAUACGAAACUUCCUAAGAAUUGCUAACCAAUGAGGAGGAACUUCAUAUAAGCCACAGUCCAUAAGAAUUGCUAAGAUUUUUCUCGAAAGUAAAUGGCUCUCUCUCUCUCUCUCUUUCCUCUUACUUUUCCACCCUACUGUUCAGGAAACUCAAUUUCUAAAUAUAUGGGAGCACCAGCUCCGAUUAAUCCCCCAACUUUGUGAACCACCUUCCUCAACAUUCUCCUUUGCGUCCACAUCAUACGUACAUAUAUAGAGAGUGAGUCUAACUAAAUUUCACUUCAAGAGUCGAUCUCCUGAGGCUCAGAAAAAUCAGGUGGCAGAAGCACACAUAUAUAAGCGUACGUGUGUGUAUAUAUAUAUAUAUAUAGUAUAGUUAUAUAUAACAUGCACCAACAUGACAUCAACAUGAACAGAUGUGUAGUAUUGCCAAAUGCUACCUAGCUAGCUAGCUCCACGGCCAACGAUUAACACGAUAUAUAUCAACCACAAUAAACAAUCACUCUACGCACCUUAGACCUUGUCAGGAUCCCGAAUCGUAGAGAGCAGACGACAACACCCCGGCGAAAUUAUCCAGCAUUUGCGGCUAGAAUGCGUCGUCGAGCGCAUCGAACGGGCUGGCGCCAGCACGCGGGCCUCCGCGUAGAUCUACGACGUCGGGAUUGCCGCCGGCGUACGAAGAUCCGGGCGCGGCGUGGCUGCGGAAGGUAGUAGUAGUGUCGGGCUUCGAGGGGACAUCGUGGCCGCCGUCGGCGUCGGCCUCAGGGAACAGCGAUUGGUCGGGGAAGGUGGAGUCUUGGCCCGUGAGCUCCUGGACUAGUGCCCGGAACUCGGCCGGGUUGGCCGCCUUGACCUUCAUGGGGUUGGAGAUGUACACCACCUUGACGGGCUUCUUCAUCUUGCCCUUGUCAGAAUGCUGCUUGGGGUUCUUCCUGCCGUCGCCGGUGCGGAGCUUUUCCAUUUCUGAUUCUGAUGAUCAGCUUCAGUGGAGGGGGGAGUGGGAGGGGCUUGGCUUGUAAGGAGAGGAGGUGAAGGACGACUCAUUACUGUGGUUUUGGCUUCAGCAUACACACAAGGAGAAGAGCACACAUGAAAGGGGUACAUUUAAUUGAAUCUCGAAUAGUGAGAGGACGGGUUUCGUCGUGGCGGAGAUGGUGAUUCCGUAACAUGGAAUUGGGAAAGAAGUGGGAAAGAGUGGGGCAACAGAAAUUUACUGCAUGCACCCUGUGCAUGCACUCGGUGCACUGUGCGUCCUACUCUUGAGAAUUCUAUUAUGUGACAUAUCAUAAAGUAUCGCACGGUUAACCGUGUGUCGCCCGAUGAUAAGUCUUCUUUACUAAUACUUCAAGGAUUCUUAGGCGAUCCAAUGGUUAAAACAUUACAAACACAGAUGCGCAUGUACUUUUAAAUGCGCCUGGUCCGACUUAUAUGUUUUUAGAAACACGAUGGCUUCUAUACUAUCAAAUCAUUUUCAAUGCUGAGACUUCCAUAUCGACAAUCAGCUCCGUUAGACUUAACCAAGAAUAUAUUAGAUUUUAUUGAAUUUUUAUGAUUUAAAACUUGUUAAGACCUCUUGAGAGCCCAAUAAUUGUUAAUGGGCCGCUUUGGGAGCCCAACUAAAAUUUUCAUAUUUGAUGUUUAGUCCCACAUUAGAAAUCAAAAGGGUGUUUGUUUCUUUUAUAUAUUCUUUUAUUCUCAAACUAAUUGUUUGGAGAAAAAUGAGAGUAAUGUUCUCGUUUAAAUACACACACGCACGCAUGGCACGAGUCCGAGCCGAGCCGGGCCGAGCGGGUGGCGCGCGCGGUCCAUACACUCGAUUUAUUUUAUUUUUAUUUUGUUGGUUUUAUCUUUAUUUUAUAUCUUAUCUUUAUCUUUAUCCUAAUCCUAAUCCUUAUCCGUAUAAUUUUAGGCUUAUCUUGUUCUACACGGAUUUAACGCGUUGAAGCAAGAUUCUCACAUAGAUUAUAAAUAUGGGGUAAGGUUGCAUGAGUUAAUUAAUAAUAAUAAUAACCCGAGCAUAUCUAAAACCUCUCGUCUUUUUCUACUUUCUGAAUUUUCGCCGAAUUUUCUUUUGCUGGAUCUAAAGCUGGUUGGGUUCAUCUUGCACCACCUUAGAAGCAUGCUGACAGGGUGGAACGUGAUCGUUAUAUUGCUAGGAGUAAUUGCCAGAAAGUCUCGCACAUGGAGGGACAAUUUCGCUUCUAGGACAAUACUCUACACGUCUCGAUCCACUGGCCUUAUCUAAACCUUUUCUUUAUAGUAUUUGUUAUUUAAUUUCUUUCGCGGAAUAUUUCGAAACUUAUAAUUUAAAUUUUCGAAUUGGUUUUUAAAAGAAUAUUGUAAUAAAAAUUCAGAAAAAUUUUUCAAACAGAGUAUUGGAAAUAGCAAGAAAACAAAUUUCGUUCUUUUUUAUAUCAUUUAUUUAGUAAUCAAAAUAGCUCAAAAUCAACGGCUGAAAAUAAAAAUAUCACAAAAAGUAAUGAUAUGACACUAAAAUUUUAAAUCAAAAAUAUUGGUCGUAUUUUAUAUAGUGUAAAUAAUUGGGUAAACUUCAGACACCAUCCAUGUGAUUUCGUACGUUCUCAUUUUAGUACCCUAUAGUCUAAAGUGUAUCAAUUUAAUACCCUAUGGUUUUAUUUUAUUCUUUUCGUCAGCUCUUCCGUUAAUAUUUCGUUAAAUUAGAUACAAAAAACUUCAGAUACAUCACCUAGGUUUAUCGAAUAUUCACUUUAGUACCCUUUAAUUUUAAUUUUGUCACUGAUUUAACGAAAAAAAUUAGUGAAAUGAAUAAUUAAAAAUAAAAAUGAAAACAUAAGACACUAAAUAUGGAUAUUUAGUGAAGUUUUCCUAAGUAAUUUUCUAUCAAAAUUUUAUUUAAUUUGGAUAUUUCUACACCAUCAAAUGUGCAAACAGCUCAAUACAACCAUUAAAAUUGUUAAUUGUUAAUUGAUAUUGAAAAAUUACUGGACUUAUUUUUUACAUACUUUAAAUACUCUAAAUUGAAUCUAACGGAGCCGUCCCAGCAUCGAAAAUGACUUGAUAGCAUGAAAGUCACCGUACUUUUAAAAGGAUGCAAAUUUAACUUGCUCUCUCUUUCUCUCUCUGUAUAUAUACACACACUAAUUAUAGUGCACGUGCAAUGCACGUCACAUUUACUAAUUAAUUUAAAUUUAAAUAUAAUUUAAUAUAAAAUAAAAGUUAAAUCUGUUUCGAUUUAAAUUUAAAUAGUAAUUGGUGGCAUUAGUCUAUUUUUCAAUUAAUUAAUUUUUUAAAUUUGAUCUGUUUCGAUUUAUUUUUAGUUUGUUAAUUAUAAUUAUUUUUUUUAUAAUAUGUAUGAAAUAUUUUUUUUAUUUUAUUUAGGAUUUCGUUACUUCAUUUCUAUCCGUUUUUAUAUAUAGUAUAGAUAUAUAUUAGAAAAAAAAAAUCUUCUAUCCUAGAUACAAUGUUAGUACAGUGUGUAACGUGCAUUAAAAUAAUACGCCUAUAAAAGAUGCAUUCGAUGAUUUAUAUAUUAAAAGCGCGCAACUCAAAAUCAAAUUUAAUUUAGAAAAAAUUGUUUAUAUACCCCUGAAAAAUUUUCGACUUUUCGAUUUACCCUUCUUAGAAGACUAAUAUUAAAAAUAUCCUCUUUACGUUCCAACCUAUUUCUAAUAUAUUCCUAGAGUUAAAAUUUAUUAAUUAACUCUGUUAUCUCUAUAAAAUUAUUAUUUUGCCCUUUCAAAUAUACCCUUCCACCAUCACCGACUUUCUUAUUUGCCCUUAAAGUCAGGGGCACAAAAAAUAUUUUGACUUUUGGUCUUUUCCAAUAUACCCCUCUAUCAUCAUCAACAUUUCUUAUUUGAUUUUAAGUUAAUGGCAAAAUUGGUAUUUUAAUUUUUUUUAACUGUGAUAAAUAUUUAACUCACGUUUAACCCAAAUUAACUUAACAGGAGAUAACUGCGGGGGUAUUUUGCAAUAACGGUGGAACAUAUGAAGGGUAUUUUAAAAGGAAAAAAAAAUAGGAAUAAAUCAGAUAUUUUCAAAUAUAUGAGGGAUACAUAGACAAUUAUCCCUUUAAUUUAUUAUAUAAAUUUGUAAUUAUUUAAAAGACUUACACAUUAAAAAAAAAUCCUCGAUGUUACUAAGUAUGAAUUCGUGAAUUUGUAGGACUGUUUAAUUCAAAGUGUCUUGGUACUAAAGGUCAUUUAACUUAAGCUAUUAGGCCAAAAGAAGUUAGAGAUCAAAGCAUGCAGAGAGUGCCUUCUAAUUUAUUUUUUGUGAAACGGCAUAAAUUAUAUUCUGACCUAAUUUGCGCAAAUCUAAAAAAUAUAAAUUCUUUUAUAAAAAUAAAUUAUUAUUAUAUUUUACGCAUAUUCUUUGCGGUCCCAAACUGGGCCUAGGGUAAAAUAAUUUCAGUCAAAUGUUUGGAAAUUUUCAUAUAGAGGUUUUUUUAAUUAGACGUUAUUUGUUUACUUAAAUAUUUGGGGCAAUAUUCAAACUGUACGCACGGAUACGCCCGGUGCAAGAAAUACAGUGAGAGGAUAAUGCUGUAAGGAUACGAAAAGACAGGGAGUAGAUACGGCAAGCCAAGUGCUCGGAUCGCUUGUUGGGGGUGAACAUCGAACUUCAAUAAUUAUGCCACGUGGCUCGCUAAGAGCGGUUGAGAUCCUACGGAGGUGACGUCAGUCGUACGCAUGCCAGUAACAUACCUGUAAUAAAUGGGAUUUGGCUGUUGAAAUCAACUGCGCUUGGUCAGAUGUGCCCUCACGUGUCUAAACUUUUUAGUACUCCUUACCUCUGCAUGAAACUAUAUAUUUCUAAUAAAACUGUCUAAAAUAUCCGAUAUACUAUACCCGACUCGGACCCAAUCCGGAUACUAUCCAGAUCCGAACCGGACCUGAUAAAAAAUGGAUAGUAUACGGGUAAAAAAAAAAACUGAUUAAAGUUUCGGAUAUGGGUCCGGAUAUUUUAUACCCAUAUCCGAUUUGGACCCGACCCGAAUCCAACUUUUAAAUGGAUAGGGUCCGGAAUAGUUUUUAAAUUCGGACCCUGACCCGGACCCGGACCCGGACCCGAUGAAAUAUUUGAUAGUAAAUAAAAAAAUUGUGAACUUUUAAAGUUGAGAGAUCAAUUUUAAUAGGACUUAUCGACGAGGGAAAACAUUGAAACCCUAGCCGCUUUUUUACUAUUUUCUUUUUUCAAUUUUUUUUACUAUUUGUUUUUAACUCUUUAUUUUUUUUUUGUUUCAUUUCCGCCUAAGAGUUUUUUAUGAAACAAUAUUUUCAUCGUCGUCAUCAUUAGCGAUAUUAAUCCUUUACAAGUGUNCUAAGAGUUUUUUAUGAAACAAUAUUUCUAUCGUAGUCAUCAAUCUAUUUUUUUUUAAUGAAUAUUCUGGCCAGUAAAUUUUCUGAUUCAUCUUUAUUUUUUUUUCCUUUUUUUUUGAAUGUUAGUAUAUAAUAUUAGUAAUUACUACAACUUAUAUUCUCUUUAUCUGUAAUAUGCUAUCAUAAUUUUUUAAUUUUUGUAUGUUUACAUAUAAAAUUAUUUUAACUUUAGACUUUUAAUCAGUAAAUAUAAUGGCCGAAACAGAUUUUGCCCAAACAAUUUAAUAAAGUCUAUACAAAAAUAUAUAUACAGAUACCCGUACCCGACCCGUAUCCGGUUUUGAACGGGUAGUAUACGGAUAGUCACUACCCAGACCCGCUCAAAUAGACACCCAGACCCGCUCAAAUAGACCCGAUAGGUAUAUUAGUAACUUAAGUAUCCAGGUCCGGAUCCGACCCGAAGUUAAAUAGGUUUUUUUUUUUUUUUUUUUUUUUUUUUUUUUUUUUUUUUUUUUUUUUUUUUUUUUUUUUUUUUUUUUUUUUUUUUUUUUUUUUUUUUUUUUUUUUUUUUUUUUUUUUUUUUUCUAACCAUUUCUUUUUAGGGUACAGAUACAGUAUAUCUACUACCCAGACCCGACCCGGUCCACGGACACCUUUAUUUUCUAAGGAUAUGUUUGAUCCCACGUAAAUUUAUAAAAUUUUUUUUUAUAUUAUUUAGUGUUUAGUUUGUAUUAAAAAAUAGGAAUAAUUUUAUCAAUAUUCUUUUAAAAAAUCGUAAUUUCAUGAAUAACCCUCUAAACUAGAAAAUAUCAUCAAUACUCCUCUUAAAAUCAAAAAUAUUCACAGAUACCCUUUAGGGCGCAUUUGGUUCAAGUUAUAUAAUAUUACAGAGUAUUUCGAUAUACCCAGGUAUCUUGAAUUUUUAAAAGAGAUUACUCCUUAUACUGCAUUAGCGCGUUUGGUUUAAUACAGUAAUGUAAUGCUGGAUUGCAGUGGUUAUAGCAUUAAUAUGUUUGAUUCUAUCUAUAAAAUUCAGUAAUCUAGAUAAUAAAGUAUAGUCUAUUACAAAAUUGUCCUUAACCCAUAUUUUGUAAACUUUUUUUUUUUUACUGUUUACAAAUAAUAUUUACUAAAUUUUAUUUUUUUUAAAUAAUUUUUUUUAAAUUUAAAAANUCUUUUUGAUACCGGUGCAUCGCAUUCCUUUGUUAGCCGAGCAUUUGCAUAGUUACAUGGUCUAAAGUUAGAAGCAUUGUCUCAGGUACGAGAGGUGUAGAUCCCAGACCAUGUCUUGCAGGUCGUGGAGUGUUGUUGGUCAUGUCCAGUGCAGCUAGACUCGUGGAUUAUUCCCACAGACCUGUUGGUGUUAGGGCAGCUGCAGGACUUCGACGUCGUGCUCGGGAUGGAUUGGCUGGCGCGGUACUAUGCUACGAUCGACUGUGGAGCGAGGACGGUGACAUUCCGCGAGCUAGGCCAGGAGGAGUUCACUUUUAGAGGCUGCAGGAGCACGCUGUUUGUUACUUGGAUAUCUUCGGCGAGGGCUCGACAGAUGCUGAGCAGUGGGUGUAUCGCUUUCCUAGCGACAGUUGUGGAGGUACCUACGACGGCGUCGGGACUCGAGGACAUCCCAGUAGUCCGCGAGUUUCCGGAUGUGUUUCCCCCUGAGUUGACGACGUUGCCGCCGGAGAGGGAGAUUGAGUUUGUGAUUGAUGUAGUUCUUGAAACUGCACCAAUCUCGAAGGUACCUUAUCGGAUGGCGCCGGCAGAGCCGAGAGAGCUAAAGGCACAGCUUCAGGAUUUGAUGGAUAGAGGGUUUGUGAGACCCAGUGUUUCACCUUAGGGAGCGCCGGUGUUGUUUGUGAAGAAGAAGGAUGGUUCACUUAGGCUGUGUGUGGAUUACCGGGAGCUGAAUAAAGUGACCAUCAAGAAUAAGUAUCCCUUGCCGCGCAUUGAUGAUUUGUUUGAUCAGCUGCAGGGAUCUUAUGUCUUCUCGAAGAUUGAUCUCCAGUUAGGUUACCACCAGUUGAGGGUGAGAGCCGAGGAUGUUCCCAAGACGGCUUUUCGGACUCGGUACGGGCAUUAUGAGUUCACGGUGAUGCCUUUUGGAUUGACGAAUGCCCCUGCCGCAUUCAUGGAUUUGAUGAACAGAGUGUUCAAGCGGUUCUUGGACAGGUUUGUGGUAGUCUUCAUCGACGAUAUCUUGAUUUAUUCCCGGAGUGAUGCUGAGCAUGAGGAGCACUUGAGGAUUGUGCUAUAGCUUCUGCGCGAGAAGAAGUUGUAUGCCAAGUUAAAGAAGUGCGAGUUCUGGCUACGGGAGGUUGCUUUCUUGGGCCACGUGAUUUCAGCUGAGGGCGUAGCAGUGAACCCGAAGAAGAUUGAGGCGAUUCGAGAUUGGCCUAGACCGACGACGGUGACUAAGGUACGGAGCUUCCUGGGACUGGCAGGAUAUUACCGUCGAUUUGUGGAAAGCUUUGCGAAGCUUUCCACAUCCCUCACACGCUUGACGCGGAAGGGGAUUCGUUUUGUCUGGAGCGACGACUGUCAGAGGAGCUUUGACAAGUUGAGACUGAGGUUGACGUCGGCUCCUAUCCUUGCCCUUCCGGUGAUGGGGGAUGGAUUCGUGAUCUAUAAUGAUGCAUCGCACAGUGGACUUGGUUGCGUGCUGAUGCAGCAUGGUAGGGUGAUUGCUUAUGCUUCACGGCAGUUAAAGGAUUAUGAGAAGAAUUACCCUACGCAUGACUUGGAGCUUGCCGCGGUGGUUUUUGCUUUGAAGCUCUGGCGGCAUUACUUGUACGGCGAGCACUGCGAGGUCUUCACCGAUCAUAAAAGUCUCAAGUAUCUGUUCACACAAAGGGAGCUGAACCUGAGGCAGCGCCGGUGGUUGGAGUUACUGAAGGACUAUAACAUUAGUAUUCAGUGUCAUCCCGGCAAGGCGAAUGUUGUGGCAGAUGCGUUGAGCAGGAAGUCAGUGCAGAGCCUGAGUUUGAGGAUUACUGAGCAGAGACCCCUACUCGAGGAGCUACAGCGGCUGGGACUUGAGAUAGUACCCCCUGGGUCUAUGGCGAGGCUGACAUCUCUAGUUUUGCAGCCCACUCUGUUGGAUAGGAUCCGAGAAAAACAGAGUGGAGAUCCGUACUUGUUGAGGAUUAGAGAGCAGCUAGACAGGGGGCAGGCUGAGGGUUUUGCUUUGGACAGUUCGGGAGUACUACGGUACAGGCACCGACUGUGUGUGCCUGUGGAUUCUGAGAUCCGAACAGACAUUCCGAGAGAGGCUCAUUGUUCUCCUUAUACGGUCCACCCAGGUGGGACCAAGAUAUAUAAGGACUUAAAGGCACGGUUUUGGUGGAAUGGAAUGAAGAGGGACAUUGGCAGAUAUGUGGCUCAGUGUUUGACUUGCCAACAGGUGAAAGCCGAGCAUCAGGUACCUGCUGGCAAGCUUCAGAGUCUGCCAGUGCCAGAGUGGAAGUGGGAGUACAUCACUAUGGAUUUCGUUGUUGGAUUGCCUAGAGCGCAGGGUAGCUACGAUGCUAUUUGGGUGAUAGUGGACAGACUGACCAAGUCUGCUCACUUCCUACCGGUUCAGACUACCUGGUCCAGAGAGAGACUUGCGCAGCUAUACUUGGAUGAGAUCGUCAGGCUGCACGGCGUGCCAGUGUCGAUUAUGUCAGACAGAGAUCCGAGGUUUGUAUCUCAGUUUUGGAGGAGUCUUCGGACAGCCUUGGGCACUCAGUUGCAUUUUAGCACGGCGUUCCACCCACAGACAGAUGGUCAGUUAGAGCGGACCAUACAGACUCUAGAGGACAUGCUUAGGGCAUGUGUCCUGGAUUUUGGAGGAGGGUGGUAUCGACAUGUGAGACUGGUUGAGUUUGCGUACAACAACAGCUAUCAAACGAGCAUUCAGAUGGCUCCGUUUGAGGCGUUGUAUCGACGCAGAUGUCGAUCCCCCCUGUUUUGGAGCAAUGUGGGUGAGCGGAGGACACUUGGACCGGACAUUCUACUUGAGGCUGAGGAAAAGGUGAGAGUCGUUCGACGACACCUUCUGACAGUACAGAGCCGACAGAGGAGCUACUCCGAUACCAGGAGACGAGACUUGGAGUUUCAGGUUGGAGAUCAUGUUUUCCUCAAAGUCUCGCCGUCCAGAGGGAUACGCCGAUUUGGAGUACGUGGAAAGCUUAGUCCACGGUUUGUUGGCCCUUUCGAGGUAUUGGAGCGUAUCGGACCGGUUGCAUACAGGAUAGCUCUACCCCCGCGACUUGUUGGCAUCCACGAUGUUUUCCACGUCUCAGCAUUGAGGAGAUACGUCUUCGAUCCCACUCACAUGAUCGACUUCACUCCAUUGGAGAUCGGCGAGGAUCUGAGAUACGAGGAGCGACCGUUGCGGAUUCUUGCUCGGGAGACGAAAGAAUUGCGCAACCGGGUCAUCCCGUAUGUGAAGGUGCAGUGGAGCAAUCACGAGGAGCGGGAGGCGACUUGGGAGCCUGAGACGGUAAUGAGGGAGUCCUACCCCGACCUGUUCGAUGCCCCGUGUUGAGGUAUGUAUUAAGUUUCGAGGACGAAACUUUUUAUAGUGGGGGAGGAUGUAGUAUUCUGAUAUAUAUAUUUUUUUUUAGUUGGUAAGUUGGGUGGAUGGAAUGCCAUGUGCACCUAACCCCUCCCCCCCCCCCCCCCCCCCCCAAUGCAUGCUUAUCAACUUAGUUCACUCAGGUUGUACAUCUCUCUAAAUUAAUUUUCUUCUCCUCUCUCUCUCUCUAGCCGAUUGUGAGCAAGGAAGAGUUCGUGUGGAGCAUUUCGUUGUCGACAUCGCGCCGCGGAGCCGUCCGAGCAUAUGUGCGUCGCCGUAGUUUCGCGAGGAGGCCGGGCGAGGGAGUGUUUUCGUCGGUCUCGACGCCGUGCCGGAAUUGGAGUCGCUGGUUGAGGUGGGUAAUCUCUCAUUCCUCCAUGGAUUUCUUCUCUACUUCAAGCUUCAUUGAAUUCGAGCGCGAGGUGCUGUUUUCACUGAUUUCCAACGUCGACCGUCGACGUUUCGGCUCCCUCUCGACGUACGAGCAUCGGAUUUUGACGAGACUUGGUUUGUUGGAUUCGGGACUUCGAGAGGAAUCCACGAAGCCCUUGCUGGUUUUGGUGGAGGUUUUCUUGGUCGGAAUUAUUCUCUUCUCUGCUGCUGUUUUUGAGGCAGAAUCGGUGCUCAUUUUCGGAUUUUACGUGUAGAGUUUGGCGGGAGCGUGAUUUCUGGCCUUUGGAGGUUUGCGGAUUGAUCCAGCAGGGUGUUCCUUUGCUUCGGGACGUCCUCGCUGCUGGGGAUUAGCAACUAAGGUGGGUUAAUCAUCGGCUUAUACUCCUAAGUGCGCAAUAGUCAACAUGUGUAAUUUCAGAUUUUGUAUAGUUUACUUUAGCUCGAAUUCAUAGAUUAAUUUGUGAAUUACAAUCUGAAUUUGGAGCAUGUGUUAAUAAAUUAAGUAAUUUAUACAUGUUGGACUUGGAAUUUGACUUAGGAGAAAACAUGCGAUUUGGACCUGUCACUUGUUUAAACUGCCUGAUUUAGCUCUAGGAGCCGUUAUA
rnacentral:lncRNA from 1 species